rnacentral:rRNA from 1 species
CCUACGGGGGGCUGCAGUGAGGAAUAUUGGUCAAUGGACGAGAGUCUGAACCAGCCAAGUAGCGUGAAGGAUGACUGCCCUAUGGGUUGUAAACUUCUUUUAUAUGGGAAUAAAACGUUCCACGUGUGGGAUUUUGUAUGUACCAUAUGAAUAAGGAUCGGCUAACUCCGUGCCAGCAGCCGCGGUAAUACGGAGGAUCCGAGCGUUAUCCGGAUUUAUUGGGUUUAAAGGGAGCGUAGGUGGAUUGGUAAGUCAGUUGUGAAAGUUUGCGGCUCAACCGUAAAAUUGCAGUUGAAACUGGCAGUCUUGAGUACAGUAGAGGUGGGCGGAAGUCGUGGUGUAGCGGUGAAAUGCUUAGAUAUCACGAAGAACUCCGAUUGCGAAGGCAGUUCACUGGACUGCAACUGACACUGAGGCUCGAAAGUGUGGGUAUCAAACAGGAUUAGAUACCCGAGUAGUC